GUGCUCUCUUCAGCAGCAUAUAUACUAAAAUUGGAAUGAUACAGAAAAGAUUAGCAUGGCCCCUAUGCAAGGAUGACACCCAAGUUUGUGAAGCAUUUCGUAUUUUU
rnacentral:snRNA from 1 species